UUUCGACCUCUACUACCCGGGAACGAAUCCCGCAUUGGCCCCUUUUUGUUAAAUAAAAAAAAUUCUCUAAUGGCCCCCGAUUCUUGAAAAAGUCCAACCCCACCAGCAAGUGCAAUUAAACAAACAAGGCUCUGGGACAUUUGUAAGUGCAAAGUCGAAAUGAUUUUCACAUGUGUAGACAUGUGGUUCACUAGAGUAAAAGCAGUCGCUAACUACCCACCAUCAUUAUCAUGGCCUUGUGUGUGUGUGUCACGUGUACUAGGAAAAAUAAAAUAAAAGAAUAGAUUCAGUAGGGAGAGUGGAUGGUUGUCUACCUGGUAAAGGUUACUUGAUAGUGAACAUCCAAUCAUAGCGCUGAUAAAACAGACGUCAUAUAAGCACUAAAGCAUAUAGUAUAGUAGCAACUAUAGUCGAUGUGUUUUUCCACAGAAAAAGGCCAAACCCUCUAGAUACGUAGGUGGUUAACAUUGCUUAAAGUAGAUGACAGAUACAAAGAAGAAGUUGAUGAUGACAUGAGCAAGAUACGAGAGGUAAAUCUUUGAUCCAAAGCUUAGAAUAAAGAUUAGUGUAGAUAGUCCUCCUCCAUGUAAUGGUCCUUAGGAAUCAUUCCUGCCCGCUGGGAUGAAUAAUGGAUUCGGCGGUAAAUCACCUCAACAGGGACGUGAAAUUCCGAUGUCUCGGCCGUCCCGCCUGAUUACACCUGGCGCAAAUGGAUUUCACCGGGAGGCCUGGAAGUCAUUUCUGCUUUCUCUGUCCUUAUAGCGGGUUGUUGGAUGUAAACAUCGUGAUUAGUUUUGUCUUUAAUAUAGUCUGUUUCUUUGUUCUUUUAGUGGGUUGUUAAGAGGCGUGGUCAUUAAUGAGGCGUGGUUGUAUAAGAAGCGUGGUUUUCAAAUAGGAAUGGUCGUUAAAGAGGCGUGGUUCGUAAAGUUGUGGUUGCUGAAGAGGAAUGCUUGUUAAAGAGUCGUAGUCGUUAAAGAGAUGUGGUCGUUAUAAAGACGUGGUCAUUAAAGAGGCGUGACGUUGAAUAGGUAUGGUCGCUAAAGAAGCAUGGUCCUUGAAGAGACACAUUUGUAAAGAGAAAUGUUUCACCUUAUUAUAAUAUACCAGAACAAUGAACCGGUUUCGUCCCAGAUUGCCUGAAUAAAUGUUUAACAAACCAGUGAAUGUUUUACCCCCCCCCCCCAAUUAUUGUAACUAUCGUUAGAAACAAAAAUAGCCUUCCGUUUCUAGACAUACAAAUCAUUCGCAUGCAACAACAGUUCCAAACAACCGUGUUUCACAAGCCGUCCUUCAACCUCAACUAUAUCAAUUUUUUUUCCUCCUGUCCACUCAGUUACAAGUAAACACAAUAAAGGCAUUUAAAUAAACGCGUCCAUACCCACUGUUUCCUCCAAACCUUUAAAACAAACGAACCCAGAAUAUUUUAACAAAUCUCUAAACUUGAAGAUAUCACUUAUCAUUCAUUUUACGACAUUUUCACAACCCAUCUUCAAGUCUAAACCCCCAUUUACAAGUCAAUAUGCAAUAUUCCAUAUUCAUCAAUAUCCAUCACAAUAGCACGCCAUCUGAAGAAAUUCUGUAUAAACACUUUGUAUAGAAACUCUUCAAAUAUAGGUCCAUUGAUAAGAAACACAAUAACAACAACAAUUGAGUACUCAUGAUUUAGGAAGAAUGGGAUCUGCCUCAUAGAAUGCAAAGAAUUCAAGAUGAGAGGUAGGCUAGAUUUGGAAGAGAUGAAAACCAGAGUACCAACAACAAAAAAUCUUUUAUUAGGGCCCAUUGCCCUGUAUGGAUUCGGCAUACAACAACAAGAUAAUACAGUAAUUUUUCCUCCCUUUCCCCAUGUGCACGUGAGCCUUUGUUUGAAAAGGGAUUUAUUUACACAUCUGUUCUAAAACUUUCCUCACUACCUCUUUUGCGUAUGAAUCUAUUUACAAUUGAUCUGUAGAAAUUAUAGAGUUCUAUUGCUGUAAUUUUCUUUUCUGAAAUAGUUCUAAGCGUCUGCAGUGGGUUGCUGAAUCUCCAGAAGGUGUUUUAAAGAAUUUUAUUCAUUUCAUCACCUAAAUAUUUGCAUUCUAAUUUCUAACCAUGGUACCAAACAUAAGCGCAAUAUUAAUAACCAAGACAUAAAAUCCUUAGUCUUCCAACAUAUAAGUAAAACAGGACAAACCUUCAACUUAUCAGAGAGCCGCGAAUCCAUUACUCCAUCAUUCCCAACAAACAUCGGUUCACGAUGAACUAAUCCUUUGGUACCCAAGGUCAGUUUGCAAUGGACCAAUCCAUUGGUAGCCAGGGUUGGUUCUCGAUGGACCAAUCCAUUGGUAGCCAGGGUAGGUUUACGAUACACCAAUAUAAGGAACGAUGUUCAAUUCGUGAAGGAAUAAUCAAUUGGCACCAUGUUUGAUUCGCGAUGGAUCACUCGAUUAGUUCCAUGUACGGGUGCUGUUUCACCAAUCCAUUGUUUCUACGGUUGGUUUUGUUCGAACAAUACAUUUGAUACGAGCACUGUUAAUGAUCGACAUUGGCUCAAUGUAUUCUGUUUGUAAAUAACAAAUCUGUUAAUUAUACAUUGAUUUCUUGACUGACUGCCCAUUAUAUUCGUGAUAGAAUAAUUCUUUGGCGCCCCACAUCAGUAUCGUGAUUGACUGAUUAUUGUUUCCCGCGUUUGAAUUAGGAAUAUCAAUCUACUGGGGUCAAGUUUAGUUCGGGAUGGACCAAUCCUUUAGUUCGAGUUUUCUUUGCCGAUAGACAAUCGAUUGGUUUCAUUUAGACUUUUGUUAGAUUGUUCUAUUGGAUCCAGGCUUUGUUCGUAAUUGAAAAUUAUCUUGACUUCACCUUCGUUUCAUGAUUUAUUUCACGCUAGAUUCGUGAUGUUACACAUUCGAUUCGGUUUUUUUUAACUGAUAAAUUGGUUCCACAUUCGGGUGGGCUUUGACUAAUAAAAUAUUUUCAUAUUUGGUUGAUGUUUAACUUAUCAAUUGGUCCCACAUUCUAUCCGCAUUUGACUAAUAAAUUGGUUUCACCUUCAGUUCACGAUUGAUAAUUAAUUGGUUCAAAAUUCGAUUCACGAUUGACUAAUCAAUUGGUUCCAUAUUCGAUUCGCGAUUGACUAAUCAAUUGGUUCCACAUUCGAUUCGCGAUUGACUAAUCAAUUGGCUCCACAUUCGAUUCGCGAUGGAUUAAUCAAUUGGUUCCACAUUCGGUUCGCGAUUGACCAAUCAAUUGGUUCUAAAUUCGGUUCGCGAUUGACCAAUCAAUUGGUUCCACAUUCGGUUCACGAUUGACCAAUAAAUUGGUUCCACAUUCGGUUCACGAUGGAAUAAUCAAUUGUUUCCACAUUCGGUUCACGAUGGAAUAAUCAAUUGGUUCCACAUUCGGUUCACGAUGGAAUAAUCAAUUGUUUAAGAUUAGCUUUUGUUCAGAAUUGGCCAAUUGAUUUGUAGAAUAUUCGAUUUCUUGUAUUUUUUAUUAUUCAAUCACAAUCUCGGUUUCAUUAUGAAUUCACGAUAAGUUCUGAUUUCUUUCUAAAUCAUCGUCGUGGUUCCGCACAAAUAAUUAGAUGAUGUAUUUUGUUAUUAAACAAAAAAAAAUAUUGUUGAAAAUAAGGUCCAUGCUAACUCCGAUAAAAUUAAAUUUACUAUAAAUUAUAUUCAAAUAUUCAAAGUCAAACUGGCAUAUCCAUGACAAAUCAAUUCCAGAAUAUGAUAUACAGAGGGUGUUUCCUUUCAAAUGAAACGAUUUCAAACGUCCGUUAGAACUUUAUUUUUCGAACGUGAAUUUUUUUCAUGUGUUCUAUGUUAUUCCCCUUCUUCUUGGCUAUCUCCCUGCAUCGGACUUUCCAAGCUGCGAACACUUCCUUGACUUUGGAGAGCGAAACAUUCGACCACUCCUCUUGUGCGGCUUUCCAAAGUCCGGCCUCAGUUUUGGGACGUCGGUUGAAGAGCCGUUGUUUCAACAUACCGAACCCGUAAAAAUCCAGUGGGCUGGCGUCGGGAGACUUCACUGGAAUGUCCGAGUUCCUGAUAAAAUUUAGGCCUAGGGUGUCCUUCAUUUCUUGUAGGAACUGUUGGGUUUUGUUGGAGGUAUGGGAAGAGGCUUUGUCGUGAUGAAGGAACACUUUGUCCAUUUCCCCUGGGUAAAGGUCCUUCAGUUGUUCGAUGACAGGUUUCAGAACGCAUUCUAUAUAGAAUUCUGAGUUCACCUUCACCUUCGAUGGAACCUUUAUGAGCGGAAGGACUCCACGGCCAGUCAUUACCCCGACAACCAUGAAACCUUUAGGGAAAGUUUCGGAGCAUUGGUGAACCCAAUUAUCCGGGACCUGAUUGCCUCUUUUGAUGUAACAGAUCUUCCGGAUUCCAUUGCAAUACGUCACAUACAUCCAUGCUUCGUCCAAUGUUGCAGUAUAUUCCGAUCUGGAACCGGCCAGGUGUUCCUCGUAGAGCUUCCGGGCAUUCGUUGCACGGUUUUUCAUGUGGAAAGGGGUGAGCUUGUGAACCUUGCCUUUUCGUCGGGUAUCCAGUUCCAAAUCUUUGUGAAUGAUGUUAUUUAUCGUUUUUAGCGAUGUUCCACACAUUCUGGAAAGUUGGCGCUGAGAUGGUGGAUUUUCAGUAGUUGCUAGCCGCUUUACCUUGGAAACCGUGGCGGGGGUCCGCACCGGACGUGGUCGAUCGACUUGAAAUUUUUGCCCAUUGGAUUCAGCUUCCCUUUUCUUUCCGAUGCCAUUUACUACCCUACAUAUUGUAGCUUUGCCAACAUCUAGUCCUUCUGCUUUUAGCUUUUUCACUAUGACGCUAUAACUGUUUCCUUCUUUGGAAAGGGUCCGAAUUGUUUGUUCGACUUGGAGCGUUAGUCUCUCUCCCCCCAUGUUGCAAAAAUCAUGAUACCUGAUGAAAAUGAAUUCUCCAGAAGAUUCUAGAUCUAUUGGAACCAGUGUCGUGUGCAGCAUGCCUGCACGUGCAAAACGCGAGCGCUCGAAAAUCGUUUCAUUUGAAAGGAAACACCCUCCGUAUAUCCUUUAUUCUCUGUUUAAAUAUCAAUCCCAUUUUAUAAUAUAUUUAGCAAUUCUAUCAGAUAUAGCAGUGAUAGAAAGAAAUUGUUUAUAAGUUUAAAGAGAACUGGAAGAUUCAGAAUUUAGAACUUGCAUCAAAAGAUCUAAUUCAAAGAGAGGAAUAGCUUUUCAAUUCCUGUUAAAUCAGGAAAUGUAAACAUUUUAUAUUUGGCUUCCUACUUUUUUUUAUUUAGUAUCAUCAAAUCAGACGCGAUAUCCCCAAAAGGGAUUCCUUCGUCAAGAAACAACAUUAAAUUCAGAGACUAUUUUACAUAAACAAUUGAUAAAUUACAAGGUUUGAGUAGAGGUUAAAGAAGAAAAGAAAGAAAGAGUCAUUAAUAUCAUGCUUGAUUUCAUAUCCAACCAAAGAACAACCAUUGAAAUAAAUACAAUUUACAUAUUUUUCUUCCCAUUGAAUAUAACAAAAUAUUUUUAAAACUUAAUUCUGUUGACGUUAUGUGGCGCUGAGUUUGUUGUUGACACACAUUAAAUAUGUUAUAACACCUUGAUAAAGGUUGGCGUUCGGCCAACUGAAAUAUUGGUAAAAUAAAUGAUUUUUUGAUUCAAUAUAUGUCUUUUUAAUUAAAUAUUUAUAUAUGGAUUGCUCUAUUUUCAAAAAUAGAUAAAUAGUUUCUAGUGUGAGCUGCAUGUAUUCCCUAGACUCAGCUUACAUUGGUCUAAUCCUCCCUCUCAUCGUCGUAGCGUUUACGAUCUACAUUCCUGUAAUAUAAUUAACAGCGUUUACUUCUUAGUGUCACCUAUCACUGAAAAUGGUUACUAAUUUUCACACAAAGGGCUGGUGAAGGAAUGGUAUGAACCGUUGAUAUUCGACAGCUAGAACCUGGGAUCGAAUCCCGCAUGCUGGGCAUUUUUAUUCUGUAUAGAAAGUUGGAAUCCUCUGAUAAGUAUAAGUAAAGGAUAUGAAGCGUACGAGGAUACUUUUCUUCUAAAAGAAAAGUAUCCUCGUACGCUUCAUAUCCUUUACUUAUAUUUUUAUUCUGUAAAAAAUAUAUGCUUCAAAGGUCCCCAUGGAGAUAAAAAGGCAUCUCCUGAUCGUGAAACUAAAAGUUGCGGAUGGCUUGCGCCAUCUAUCGUAAUAAAUAUCAACUAAUCGUUGAUUUUUUAAAAAAUAUUCCAGAAUUGGCCAAAUAUUCAAUCUUGAUUAAUCAAGAAAAACUAACCACCUACGCCUUUCGGGCUGUUGGCCCUCGUUAGCGUGGUGAAAGCUGUACUUUAGCGACCAAAAAAAUUGGUCAUUCAGGCAUCCUGGAAAAUCAUGAAACAGGUAUUUAGGGCCAGAAGUGCGUGUAAAUUGUUGUUGUUGUUGUUGUCGUGUCCAAAGAAGAGUCUCAGAUGUCUCCAUGCAUCUCCAUCACAGCAGCAGCAAUAUCCACUAUCUUGGGUGUGUAAAGCUGCUGCUCUGGGUCUAAGUCAAUUUUCUGCAAGGCUGCGGCCAUUGCUGGGCAUGAGAAUAUGUGAGUAGGUGUUAGUUUAAGCGUGUAAAUUGUUAUAUAUAUAACAACACACUCCCUCUCUUUCUUCUCUCUAAAAUGAAAAAUAUCGUUUGUAUGGGAAUUCUUUAAUCCCUACCUAAAUAAAUUGUUAGGUUAAUUUCGUUGUCUAUAUCUCGUUGCUUGGAGUAUCAGGACACUUUUAACACCAGAUCAUUCAGAAUUUGUAUAAAAUUAAAACAGUAGUUAAAUGUUUCCUUGUUAAAGACGACAGAGGGUCGUUAAAAUGAUGGAAGUAAAGUUUUAAACAAAAGUUGAUGGUAAUAAUUUACGACUAAAUUAUAAAACCAAUAAGUAAAAUGGUAUUUCCAUAAAUAAAUAGCGAUAUAUAUAUAUAUAUAUUUCAAAUAAGGUAUAUAACCACGAGAAAAUAGGGGGUAGAAAUAAACGUCAGACGUGGAUCUUAAAAUUAAUCAAAAGAACUUUAAGUUUUCCAGAUUGGCUCAUCUCCAUCAAUGUUUGAUGAAGCAACAAUACUUCUAUAAAUGUUUUAAAAUGUUCUAUCAUUAACCUUUAGAUGCACGUACACCAAUCCUGGGAAAAGGAGGUUGCACUUAAGAAUCUUAAUAAAAAUAGUAAUUCGAAUAUCGUAAUUUAAUUAACCGAAUUACGCUUUCCUUUUUAACAAUAUUUUUGUGUAAAAGCAGAGAGAGAUGUUUUAUAAAGUCAUCUCUCUCUCUAUAUAUUUAUAUUAUUUAAAAUAUAUAUAUUUGUUAAUGAUUUUUGAAUAGUAUUUAUAGAAUUGUUGAUCAUUUGCUUGAUACAUGAAUAUUUAAAUUGUAGAUAUUGCAAUGAGUCGUGAACAGAAUGAUAAAAACAGUUUAGAUCAUAAUUAGCUUUAAUUGAGCUUAAGGAAAAUAUAAAAACAGAAUUUGAUAAAGUACUGCCUGACUUAAGGCGAGUAGAAAAAGGAAAACAAAAGAUUAUUUACAUAAUUACAAAAGUUCUGAGUGAGCCGACCAACGGGAAAGAGAAAAUAUCUUUAUUUACGGGCUACUAACCAAAAGUUAUGAUUUUUGAGCCCAAAAUCGAUGUCAGGUGGCAAGGGACCCUAGGAUGUGGAAGCAGGAGAUGUCUCGCAGGGGUGGUGGAAACGUUGGGCAAGCAGGGGAAUAGCGCCAGGGUGCAGUGAGGCGGGUGCGUUGAAUAGGCCAGGAAUCCAGGAGAAGUGGCAGAUGGAAAUGGAGGCAGAAGGUCCUUGAAGCCUAGAACUUGAGGGCCCUAGACUUCAGGAUGGGGCAGCUUGAGGCUCUCGCCUCGUGCUUGUCAGGAAGGCCCUGGGAGCAGCAGUUGGCACAUUUGGAGGUGCGCUGGUCAGCAAUGGAUGGGCAGGUUCGGCCUUCAUGGCCGUCUUCACCGCAGUGGAAGCACUUAGGAGCUCUGGUGCAUUGGGCAGAGUUGUGGCCGAAGCCACAACAGCGGAAGCAGACGCGGGCGCGGAUGGACUCCUCGAAGUUGAGGAUUACUCCAUCCACCACGAUCCUCCCGCGAACGCCCAGGGCUCUAAAGGUCUUGAGGUCCACCUCGAUGAAGGCGGUGCAGGUCCCGUUUCUGGGUGCAGAACGGUGCGCCACGCGCACCACCUUGUCCCCAGGAAGUUUUCUAACAGCAGCGGUUUCCAGGAAGGUCUCCUCAAUUGUGGAGUUGGAUGUCUCCUCAUCCACUUUGAAGAGGCAGAUCCGUGGCAGGAUCUCCUUCUGCUGGCGGACCUUCAUUCCAUUCAGCUUGCUGGCCAGGGAGGUUGUAACCUCAGGGAUGGUGUCAGGAUUGCUGGAAUGGAGGACCAGCUUCCCCUUGGUGCGCAGGGAGGCCCAAACGCCUUGGGGGAGAGUGUGAGCAGCGCGGACUGUUUUCAGCAUCUCCCUUGGGUCAGCCUGUGGGUCAUCUGAGAUGACCACUGUGUGGGCCGCCGAUUUUUCUCCAUUAAGGAUCACUUGGGCGGCCGCAGGCUUGGAGACGUGGGAAGGCACUGGUUUUGAAGGACCAUUCAGGUUUGUCCUCUUUGCAGGCGGGUUGGGAGCUUCAGACUGCUUCCUUUUGGUUGGAGCAGGAGCAGGCAGGGAGGAGGCAGGCUUCUUGGCAGGGAGAGCAGCAGGAGCAGGAGUGGCGGGCUUGAUUGGGUCAGUCUGGGAGCUGGUUUCAUUGCAGGAAGGAGCAGGGCAGGUUUGAGUGCCGCGGCAAGCAGUCUUGGGCUUGUUGGCCUCCUCAAUUUCGUCCAACUCUGCGAAGGACUCGAGGGUGUCAGUGAGGUUCUCUACAUUGGUAGCGAGGGCCUUGAUCAUU
rnacentral:piRNA from 1 species